GAUAUCUAAAAAAUAUUUAACUAACCGCUCGAAAUAAAGAGAAGCUGUCAAAUUAAAUAUGGGGGUCGUUCGUGUGAAAUGUGUUUUGUUGGGUGAUUCUACUGUUGGUAAAACUGCGAUCACUCAAGCAUAUCAUAGCGAUGGAACGUCGUUUCCCAAAAGUUA